GGCUGGUCCCAAUGCAGUGGCACUUACAGCUAAUUGAUCACAACCAGCUACAGAUUUCUUUGUUCCUUCUCCACUCCCACUGCUUCACUUGACUAGCCUUAA
rnacentral:Y_RNA from 1 species